rnacentral:rRNA from 1 species
UACGGGAGGCAGCAGUGGGGAAUAUUGGACAAUGGGCGCAAGCAUGUUCCAGUCAUGGCGCGUGAGUGAUGAAGGCCGUAAGGAAGUAAAGCUCUUUCACCGGAGAAGAUAAUGACGGUAUCCGGAGAAGAAGCCCCGGCUAAUUUCGUGCCAGCAGCCGCGGUAAUACGAAGGGGGCUAGCGUUAUUCGGAUUUACUGGGCGUAAAGCGCUCGCAGGCGGUCUUUUAAGUCAGGGGUGAAAUCCCAGAGCUCAACUUUGGAAUUGCAUUUGAUACUGGAAGUCUAGAGUAUGGCAGAGGUGAGUGGAAUUCCGAGUGUAGAGGUGAAAUUCGUAGA